rnacentral:rRNA from 1 species
ACGAACGCUGGCGGCGUGCUUAACACAUGCAAGUCGAACGGAAAGGCCCUGCUUGCAGGGUCCUCGAGUGGCGAACGGGUGAGUAGCACGUGGGUGAUCUGCCCUGCACUUCGGGAUAAGCCUGGGAAACUGGGUCUAAUACCGGAUAGGAGCCAUUUUUAGUGUGAUGGUUGGAAAGUUUUUUCGGUGUAGGAUGAGCUCGCGGCCUAUCAGCUUGUUGGUGGGGUAAUGGCCUACCAAGGCGGCGACGGGUAGCCGGCCAGAGAGGGUGGACGGCCACAUUGGGACUGAGAUACGGCCCAGACUCCUACGGGAGGCAGCAGUGGGGAAUAUUGCACAAUGGGCGCAAGCCUGAUGCAGCGACGCCGCGUGGGGGAUGACGGCCUUCGGGUUGUAAACUCCUUUCGCUAGGGACGAAGCUUUUUGUGACGGUACCUAGAUAAGAAGCACCGGCUAACUACGUG